CUGAAGCCUGCAGCUUGCAUGUGGGUGGAUGAGUGGCRAACGGGUGAGUAACACGUGAGUAACCUGCCCCUGACUCUGGGAUAAGCCCGGGAAACUGGGUCUAAUACCGGAUAUGACCAUUCUCCGCAUGGAGUGGUGGUGGAAAGUUUUUCGGUUGGGGAUGGGCUCGCGGCCUAUCAGCUUGUUGGUGGGGUGAUGGCCUACCAAGGCGACGACGGGUAGCCGGCCUGAGAGGGCGACCGGCCACACUGGGACUGAGACACGGCCCAGACUCCUACGGGAGGCAGCAGUGGGGAAUAUUGCACAAUGGGGGAAACCCUGAUGCAGCGACGCCGCGUGGGGGAUGACGGCCUUCGGGUUGUAAACCUCUUUCAGUAGGGAAGAAGCCUUCGGGUGACGGUACCUGCAGAAGAAGUACCGGCUAACUACGUGCCAGCAGCCGCGGUAAUACGUAGGGUACAAGCGUUGUCCGGAAUUAUUGGGCGUAAAGAGCUCGUAGGUGGUCUGUCACGUCUGCUGUGGAAACGCAAGGCUCAACCUUGCGCGUGCAGUGGGUACGGGCGGACUAGAGUGCAGUAGGGGAGUCUGGAAUUCCUGGUGUAGCGGUGAAAUGCGCAGAUAUCAGAGGAACACCGGUGGCGAAGGCGGGACUCUGGGCUGUAACUGACGCUGAGGAGCGAAAGCAUGGGGAGCGAACAGGAUUAGAUACCCUGGUAGUCCAUGCCGUAAACGUUGGGCACUAGGUGUGGGGUCC
rnacentral:rRNA from 1 species